rnacentral:tRNA from 1 species
GGCGGGUUAUGCUAACGGUAAGCAACUGGUCUUGAAAACCAGCGUAGGUGUAAAAACCGAUGGGGGUUCGAAUCCACCCACCCGCCUCCA